rnacentral:rRNA from 1 species
UACGUAGGGGGCAAGCGUUGUCCGGAUUUAUUGGGCGUAAAGAGCGUGUAGGCGGCUUUGCAAGUCCGUUGUGAAAACUCGAGGCUCAACCUCGAGACGCCGGUGGAAACUGCAAAGCUAGAGUCCGGAAGAGGCGAGUGGAAUUCCCGGUGUAGCGGUGAAAUGCGCAGAUAUCGGGAGGAACACCUAUGGCGAAGGCAGCUCGCUGGGACGUUACUGACGCUGGAGACGCGAAAGCGUGGGGAGCAAACAGG